AUAAGCUUUCUCUGUAUGUAAGCCCGAGAGAAAUUCCAUGGAAACAUCACGCCUGCAAAUGACGCAGUUUUUUUUUAAAGCAUAUACCAGCCCGAAAUAUCAUUCAUAUAAGCUUUCUCUGUAUGUAAGCCCGAGAGAAAUUCCAUGGAAACAUCACGCCUGCAAACGAAGUUAUUGCAGGCCCACACACAAGCAAACUCCAUCUGAAAGCCGAAGAAUCCAAAGUAGGGAUGCUUUAGGCGCUGCUGCUGCUGCUUCCAGCGAAACAUCACCACAAAACCACCACCAUUCACUCCGUUCUACUCAGGACACACAGGCGAAGGCCUUUCACUGCGCAGUCAGUUCUAAAAUGUCUGGUCUUGCCGUGACGGGCUAUCGAGUUCUUGCAUCGGGUCGUUCAAACGGGGCAUUCAGGAAGCACUGGUCAUCAAAUUUUGGAGCUGUUGUGUGCAGCAUUGGUAGCCCUUUUGUGCUGAGGGAAACGAUGCUUUUUGUUUUCUGGAACCGCUUGCAGAGCGCACGACUUGAGGAUCUCAAACCGAAGGUAAAAGGUGAAAGAUUGUAUUUGUUUUGGGAUCUAUAAAAGGAUAUUACAAGUGAUAUAUCUUGGCUGUUGAUACCAUAAUUGGAUUCUAAACUCUCCAAAGCUGCCUUCAUCUGGGUUACUUUCUCAACAUUCUCUUUUUCGUUUAUGGUUGGUUUUGUAUACCAUUGCAAGUGUUAAAUUUGUGAUUUGUUGUUUAUGUGGUGAAAAAAUAGGAUGCUAGAACGAUUCAGAUUAUUUAUGUGUUACACAAAAAAAACUUUUAGAACUCCCAGUAGAAAGAGAUUUCGCUAACGAAGAAGUCUUUUAUUUUUUUGUGAGAUUUAAGAGGUUAACUUCCCCAAACGCAUAAAUGGACUUUUAAAGAAGCCUUUUGAUCUCUCUAUCCUCUACGAUGAAGUUGCCCUCAUGAUCACUUUCUCUCCCUCCGGCAUGGCCUGCCAAUUUGCAAGCCACAAGUGGGAGCAUAAUUUGUGCUGCAAAUUAUUAGCAAAAUAAUUCAUAAGAUUUCUUCAAUCUGUCGAAGUUGAAAGGAUUAAGGAAUUAUAUGAUUUCGGUCAGUCGAAGAGGUUACUUUUUUUUCUCUAUUGCUUGAGAAUGUUUCUUUGAACAAAAUGAAUGAAAGCUUAGUUUUUAGCCAUGGUUUCAGGUAUACUUAUCACAAUAGAACUAAAUGGAAAUAAAAUUUUUUGCACUUUUUUAUUUUUAUAUAUGCUGUUUGCCUAUAAAAUUUGUGAUUUCGUUCUCAGUUAAACAUUUCAGAUCAAGAUUUCAAACAUUGUACUAGACUAUAGAUUAGAAAAAAAAUAUAACUUCUAAAACAUACAUAAAGUUAUGUAGUUUAAAAGUAUUUGUGUUGUAUGCAAUUACAGAUUUCUGGUUUUAAUGGUUAACCAAUGAAAAUGGUUUAGUAUUGUGCAUUAAUAAUCAUUGCUUAGGUUAUGCACAAUUUUUUAGCAUCUUGGUAGCUUUUUUUUGUUUGCUGUUUGAAAGCAGUGAAAUUUUCAAUUUUGGUGUGGAGAUUUUGAGGGGUGGAGGAUACCCGUUUGAGAUUAGGAUCAUAUUAAGUGCAUUUGAGAACUAAUUGAAGAAAAUAUUUAAUUUUUUGGCAAUUAGGAAAGUGGCUUUGUUCUCAAUAAAUAAGUUGUGUUCUCUCAUUUUCACUAAAACUGUCAUUUAUUUACUUAAUAACUUUCAUUUUUCCAAUUUGUAUCAAGGAAGCAUACAUAUCGGAAGAAAGAAGGAAGCUCUGAAGUGCUGAUUAGUGUGUGUGUGUGUGUGUAUGUAUAUAUAUACACACACAUGUACCUAGAAUAUUUUGUACAGUGAGUAGUUCAACGCUGCUCUAAACUUGCAACAAGUUCUAAAAGAAGCAAUUUUCCCAGUACAGACACCCUCGAUGCAAUUGCGCUACUGUUCCCUGCACUGCUACAAGUCCAAUCGUGCAGAAGACAUCUCCAUUAACUGGUAACAGAUCGUUUGCCGUUGAGGUUCCCAUGCAGAAGAGCGAAAAUGCUGCAAGUGGAGGAUAGAUAACAUCUCAAGACACAUGAUAUGAGGGUGCAGGAGGAAGUAUGACUCCAUCUCCUCCCUCCAAUUCAAUGACUACAAAGUCCGCAUCACUACCAAUCAAAAACAGCUCCGAGUCCUGAGGUGAAGAGCUCGGUGCUAUGACAUGAUCGAUUGGACAACGAAUAGUACCCGAAACACUUGUUCUGCAAAGGGGGCAGUUGGCAUUUGCUUUGAAGCCAUGCAUCAAUGCAGUCCAAGUGAAACUCAUGGCUGCAGUUGGGAAGAACUUUUAGUGUCUUGUUCUUGAAACUCUUUCAAACAAACUGCACAUCCACACACACUUCCCUCUUCAUCAAUUCCUCCUUUGAACUGAACAAUUGGGAUUCCACGAAUGACUGAUUCUUGAAGCCCACGGUUCCACACUGACGGAGAGAAGGCUGUGAGUAGUUCCUUGUUUUGCCGAGCUCGCAAGGUGGUAAGGGACCUCAUGAUCAGGAGACUGACUUGGUGCCAGUUUGAGCAAAACUUGACAACGAUGAGAUGGCAGCUCACUAAUAAGAAAGCUGAGGCCAUGGGGCUUAGUAGAACAACAGCUAAUAUAGGGAAAGAAGAAGGUGGACUAGGCAAAGGUGGUUGAUAUGUGGAGUUUACGUGGUUUUUGAUGUGUAGGAGUAGGAUGAGAGAUUGAUCACCAAAAUUGUACCAGUAUUUGUGCUUUGUUGCCAUAAUAAAAUGGUGCUGAAUGUUACUGAAACUUG